rnacentral:rRNA from 1 species
UUGGAGGGCAAGUCUGGUGCCAGCAGCCGCGGUAAUUCCAGCUCCAAUAGCGUAUAUUAAAGUUGUUGCAGUUAAAAAGCUCGUAGUUGAAUUUCGGGAUCAGAGUGUCGGUCGUGCCUCGGUACGCACUGGUAUUAUUGGUUCCUACCUUCUGAAGAACCGCGAUGUCAUUAAUUUGGUGUCGUGGGGAAUCAGGACUGUUACUUUGAAAAAAUUAGAGUGUUUAAAGCAGGCUUACGCUUGAAUACAUUAGCAUGGAAUAAUGAAAUAGGACGUUUGAUUCUAUUUUGUUGGUUUCUAGGAUUGACGUAAUGAUUAAUAGGGAUAGUUGGGGGCAUUAGUAUUCAAUUGUCAGAGGUGAAAUUCUUGGAUUUAUUGAAGACUAACUACUGCGAAAGCGUUUGCCAAGGAUGUUUUCAUUAAUCAAGAACGAAAGUUAGGGGAUCGAAGACGAUCAGAUACCGUCGUAGUCUUAACCAUAAACUAUGCCGACUAGGGAUCGGAUGAUGUUAAUUUUUUAAUGACUCAUUCGGCGCCUUACGGGAAAC